CCCGCGUGCAGGAAGACGGCCCUACGGGUUGUAAACUGCUUUUCCGGGCAGAGAAACUUACGUACGCGUUGGGUAACUGACGGUAACCUGGGAAUAAGCAUCGGCUAACUCCGUGCCAGCGGCCGCGGUAAUACGGAGGAUGCAAGCGUUAUCCGGAUUUAUUGGGUUUAAAGGGUGCGUAGACGGACUAUUAAGUCAGUGGUGAAAUCCUGUGAAAGGCUGUUUUACUGCCGUUGAUUCCGAUAGUCCUGAGUUUGGAUGCGGAACGCUAAAUGUGUAAUGUGGCGACGAAAUGCCUAGGUAAUGAUGUUAACACCGACUGCGAGGGCGAUUUACUGAACCGACACUGACACUCAGACACGACUGCGAGGGGAUCAAGCAGUAUUAAAUAUCCUGGAAUGCCACGCCGUAAGCGAUGAUUACUCCCUGUGGGCGAUACACUGUCAACGGCUAAUCAAAAGCGAUAUCUAAUCCACCUGGAGACUACCGCCUCACGGCUCAAACUGAAGGAAUU
rnacentral:rRNA from 1 species